GACUAGCAACACUAGGCCCCUUCCGCACGGAGGCGGAGGCGAAAGGGGUUGGGCCGGCGUAAACCACGCCGACCCCCCGACGCUGGGACCGUCCGCAUGGAUGGUCCCAGAACCGGCUGGGACGACGGCACCGCAGAGCGCCGUCGCCUGGCUG